UCCGGCCGCGCCCGCCCCCGCCGCCCCGAGAGCGCCGUGGCAGACUCUAGCAGGAGUGUUCCUCUCUCGAUGGCUCAGCACAGCCCCACCUUCGGCCGUGCCCUUCCUCUCGGGUUUGGUUUUAGAAAGUGUGUGAGCGUGGAAAUCAAAGAAACCGGCCGUCCCUCUGAGGGUGGGGCUGUUGGCCCCGAACCAGAGAUAACCGGCUCUCCGGUAACCUGCAGGUCUAGGAAUUAUUUUCUAGAUGACACUGCAGGGAGGGGCGCGUGGGGGCCUAACGACCUGACCUCGAAGGCGCUGGGACUUGGCUGUUCUCAGAUUAGGGCCUAGCAGGUCCGUGUGUCCCGGGGGUUGGAGGGCAUCUCCCGGGGGGUGAGGGUGCUGUCUAGCUUGUCAGUUCUAGGAACCUUACAAACCCCUUGUUGAACAGGGGAUUUACCCCUCCUGGUUUGUGUGGUUUCACUUGGUCGCUGGUUCAGUUUCAGUGUGGUUUAAUAUUGUUAAAAACGAAGUUUCUAAGGCUUCUUUUUGCUCUGCAGUGGGCCUGCUUGGCCCUAAAAGUCCUUUAGAAGAAUUUUCUGGAAGAAAUUUAGAGAAAACCUAAGUGUUUCCUAGCAGAUGCUUACCCACUCCUUCCCCUGCCCCCACAUUGAUUUUAAUCGUGUUUUAGGGUUAAAUGCAAACUACUAGCAGUUGUUGGUGGAAAACAGCCCAGUGACAAGUCCUGGGGUUUUCCUUUGUUCCCAGGGGAGGCCAUGGGAGGAAUGAGUGAUCCCAAAGGAAUGAGCAGGGGAAUCCUCUAAGUGAUACCUCGUGACUAAUCUUGGCUAUUGCCAAGAAACCCUGCUUGGAUUUCAGCUAUGGCUUUCCCCGCCACCCUGGUGCUGACUCUUCAAGGGGACAGUUCUUCAAGAUCUUCCCAUAUACAGUACUUGUAGGCUCCAGGUCACAGUCACCAGUGGAGGAAAUCCUGGAUCCUUUUUGUCCCAGGAGAUGACAGCUCCGUGUAUGUUAUUGUCCUUGAAGACCUUCUGGUGGAACAAGAUGUGGAGAUGGGAGACAACGAUGUUGAUGAUCCUGACCCUGGUAAUUGUUCAACUGCACUGUAUUGUGGAUUCUCUAUUCUCCCCUCUGCAAUCGGCCAGCAGUCUCUGAGGACUCUGAGGCUCUAAUGCGUGCAUCUCCACAAGGGAGAGGGUUUCUAAAACACUGUGCUAAGUGCUGGGAUAAAGUGGUGAAAAUGGUCAGCAGGAUGGACACUGUACCUGCCCUCAUCUGGCUUCUUAACAACUCUGUGUAUUGGAUUCUGAAUCUCUAAGGAUGGAAGAGCCAUAGUUGGAAGGAGCCUGGAUUCCUGAAUCACUGUAUGGAGGAAAACCACUUGCUGACCAGGAACACCCUUAUUGGACUAGUUAUGUGGGGUUUCCGUUAUGCAGGCCGCUGAGACACUCAGUAAGUAUUUGUCAGGUAAGUGAAUGAUUUUGUAUGGGUUGGACUCUUGGAGCUGAUUACAUUAGAGGUAAAGAAGAUGAAGCCCAAAUGGGUUGCAGGACUUGGGGAGGAGCAGAGAAGCAGGCUUAGAACUAGGUUUCUGGGACUUACAACACAUAGUUGUUCUCCUUAAAACUCAGUGGGGCAUCCUGUCCUUUCUGAAGGCUUUCAUGCCCAGCUUCUUUCUCCUUUACCCCACCCUGUAACCCUGUCUCCAGAGUACCCUCCACAGAUACCCUCAACAUAGAUCUAUUUACAUGCACAUCUUUUUUGGAAGAGACUGCAAGCUAUUUGAAGACAGAGGCCAAAUCUUAGGUCUCUCUCUGUCUCUUUUUUUUUCAAUCUGCAACAAAUAACAGUUUGAACCUUGAAUAUGUAAAUGAAUGACUAUUUGAAUGCAUGUAGUGACUGCAUAGUCUAAAUUUUUCUCCCAUGGUAGUGAAUUUCAACCUUUCUCUUCUUCUUGAUGAUAUGCCUGUCAGAUCAAGUGCUUCAACACUUUAUAAUAAAGUGUUUCCCUUAGAUAUUGCAGAAGAAGGCAUUAUUAUUUUAGGACAUGAUAACUUCAUGUGUGUUAUUAUCCCCGAAGACUUCUAGUGGGACAAGAUAUGGAGGUGGAAGAAAGUGAUAUUGAUAAUCCUGACCCUGUGUAGGAAGGCUAAUGUGUGUGUUUGUGUUUUAGUUUUUAAC